AAGCAAGAUUCAUUUUUGGAAAGGAAACCAUUCUAACUAACAGGGUGAGUCUUGCAUCCAGAAAGUAUAAACAGCAGGUCAUUCCUUUAACUGGUUAAAGCCAGAUCUCUUUAGUCCCAUCUCCUUUUCCUUUCACACAGAAACACUGCACAUUGCUCUGUUUAAUAGUGUUAGGCUCAGCACACUGAGCUUAAAUAAAAGAAAGUUCUAUACAAAAUACAGUGAUAUCCUGAAUUAAAUGGAAUCCAUUAUCUUCCAAUAUAACAACAAUGGGUGGAAAGAGUAAGACAGCCUAAAUACGAUAAGGUUAUGUUAAAGAAAAAGAAUUUUAAAAAAUGUCAUCUUCUAUGGAGUAUUUAAAAAAAAAAAAAAAAAAAAAAAGGUUGUUAAAGGGACACUAUAGGCAUUAAAAACAAGUUUAGCCUAACAAAGCUGUUUUGGUGUAUAGUUCAUGCCCCUGCAAUCUGACUGUUCAAAUUUCUGCUAUUUAUGACUUAAAUCACUUUUGUUUCUGUUUAUGCAGCUCUAGCCACACCUCCCCUGACCUGACAUUUUCAAUCAAAAGUUAACUUGCUUAAACGGAUACUCCAGGCACCAAAACAACGUAAUCAAAUAGAGUUUUUAUGGUGCCAGGAGGUCCCUGGAGGCAUUCUUACCUCAAGGAGUAAAACCGUUCUCCAAUGGUUUAACCACAAAGUUGUCUCCAGCGGCGAUGUCCACUCCACCUAGACAACAUUCGGCUUCUGAAUUUUCAGAUUCAGGAAGCGCAAAGUGCCGCCUCAAUUCAGGAAGCACAGAGAACGGGCCACUGACGCUCUAAGACAAUCAUUGACGCCCCAUUUACUAAACUGGAUUGGAAAAGGUACGUUUCUUUCAGAGCCAGUUUAGUAAACGGGGAGUCACUGAAUGGCUGAGAGAGAUACACAAACUAACAAGAAUAUUUUUAUUGACAAAUAGCUACAUGUAUUUAGGCAAGCAGUUUCUCCAAUGACACUGACACUGAUGCCCUGCUUCCUGCUUAAAAAAAAAUCAAUUCAAUGCCCCAAUGCCACACACUUCCUGGCCGUCCUCCGCAAGUCUUCUUUGAUUUGUCAUGCUUGGGAUCUCGUCUGUGACAUUAGCAUGCUGGCUUUGUCGUCAGCAUUAGAAUGGAGUGACGUCACAUCACUCUGUUCCUGUACUCAUUAUCAGCACUAGGGGAGAUUCUAUAGCAACCACAGCGUAUGCAAUGUAGUUGCGAUGGGAGAAGAGCAGAGGGACCUUCCAUGGGAGGACUUUUCUGCACUCUCUUGUCAGGAUUGACUGACAGCUGGGGGGGAGGGGCGAGAGAACACUUUAAAAAAAAAAAUUCUCCUAAUUUAUAUAUUUGCUAGCAAAACUGCUAGUACAAUGUAUAGAUAAAAUUGUAUGCCCGAUCUAAUGAGCAUAGGUUGCUUGGGGUAUGAAGGUAUUCUUUAAUGAAGAAAUCACAAGUUGGGCCCGGUUUUAAAACAACACAUUUUCAGACUUCCGUAGCAUUUUUGUCAGAUAAAUGGUUUGUGAAAUUUAGACUGUGAUUGCUUUAAUAACUGUUGCAAGAAAGAAAUGUUAUUGAUUGUUUACCGAUUCUAUACUGCUAAAUACGCCAUUAUCUUCAAUAACUACCUAUCAAGCAAAGCCACAUAGAAGCUGGAUAUUAAAAAAUAAAUCCCCAAAUAUGCCAAAGACUUGACUUUCCAAUCAAUUUUAUACAGGGAUUAGAUUAAAAAAUUUUGAAAUGUACCAAACUUAUUUGUGACCCAAGUGUGACUAAUUCACUAGCUGAAGUUUCCCUUAUAAUCUGGUAUCCAUGUUUUUGAGGCUAUUGUUAUUGGUUUUGUUAUCUAUAUAUUUUUUUUUGUUUAGUUUUUCUUUAUUUAUAUGUUAUUAUUCACUGACUCGGUGUCUUACCCAUUAUUAAUGCAUUGUUUAUAACUUUAAAAAAAACAACAACAUAAAAACGGAGUCAUUAAAAAAUAAAAUAAAAUAAAUUCCUGCCUUUAGCAUGAUUUCUACAAUUAUCUGGUCCUAAAUGGAAGUUAGUCUAUAGGAGCAGAAUGGAUGAUACUAUAGGACUCAAAGUAAAUUGAGCCGCAAUUGUGGGCAAGCAUCACAGAACAUAACUAAGGAAACGUAUCAAUGGGUUGCUGAAUAAGCUACUUUUUUUUUUUUUUUAAACUUUGGAUUGUCUUUUCUACUAGUUUUUACUUCUGUGCCUUUUCCUUACUUUUUUCUCCUUCAACACUUAUUUUAGCAAAGCAAAAUAAUAAGUAAAAUACAUGUGGAUUAACAAUAUUUGGUUAAUGUACAUAAUUGUGGAGGUGCAAAAUAAAAAAAGAAAAUUUGGAAUAAACAAAGAUGAUACUUUUUAAAACUACUUUUAAAACAUAAUACAUUCGAACUAAUUUUUCACUUUCACUUAUGGUUUCCACAUUUACUCUUGACAAAUCCCAUGAGUAUUGCUUCUAUAUUUUUCUACUGCCACUACCUAGAGGCUUAGAUCUCCAUACUGAUUGGUUCAAAAACACAUUUAACCAAAACAUAAAGCAAGUGGCUGCAGAUCUCUAUAUAUUUAUAAACUCUGGUUUAACUGUAUCCGUAUACUUCAUUAGAAUUUGAACAAUGACACAAAAGCUGUUACACAUUUUAAGCACAGUCCCUCCAUCUUAGAAGUCUAUGAAUAAUUGGGAAAAUUAAUAUAAUCUGCAAAAAGUAGUUCUAUUUAUAUUUGAAAAUCCUUCACAUCUAAUCACUGGUUUAAACUUGAGAACACUAGAUAUCACUAGAUGCUAGAUGACUUCUCUGUUGAUAUUCUAAGUGAACAAUUUGCAGCAUCUAGAGGAUCUGAUGCGGAAAUCUUGGUACCAGAUACCACAGGACACGUUUAGAGUUCCUGUGGAAUCCAUGCCUUGCCAAGUCAGAGCUGUUUUUGGCAACACUAGGAGGACCUAUACGUUAUGAGGCAAGUGGUUUUAAUGUUGUGGAUGAUCAGUGUAUCUUGGUGUGUUUGGCAGCUGUCUUUACAACCACAAUAUUUUUUUAGUGAACAACUACAAUGGUCUUCCAAGUCAUGUGCAAUUGUUGAACUAAUCUAUUUGAAAAUAAUGUACUAUUUACUGUGGGCCAGUCCCAGGGGACACCUGGUAACAUAACCGCUGUGGUACAUUAUAUUUCUUAUGGUGGUUAGACAACCCAUCUAAUAAUUUAAAUAAAUGUUAAUGUAAUAGUGAUUUGGACAAAUCUAAGCCAUGUGCUUUUAUUUACAAGGUGUACUUCUAAUGUAGCAAGGAUACUUUUUUUUCACUGGUUGUCACAAGAGACAAUUGUAGCAGACUACAAAAUCAAUUCAGGACAUUUUCCUAGUUGUCCUGUGCAUUAACUUAAGAUCAAACAAAAUACACAGGGCCAAAAAAAAAAAAAAAGGCUAAAUCAGAGUAAGUAGCCAAUUAUCCAAUCAGUUUUCAUACCCUUAAAAUGAAAGGGCUUAUGAUGGGUAUGCAAAUUGCUCAAAGUUGACAGUCUGCACAUUAUCCUCUUAAUAGAAGUUUAAUUUCAGACCCAUGUGCUAGAAUACAAAACAAUACUUGUGCCAGUAACGUAAGCAUUUCAGGGUUUUCUUUUUUUCCCUCCACCUCUGGGAUAAGCACAACUGAGAAGCUGCAAAGCUCAGCAUCUUUACAAUUCCAGAUGCUUCGAAACGCAAUUGGUGACCUGGGAGUUACUUCUUUGCAAGUCAAUAAUAGAUCAUCAACCACAGAUACUAGCAAGCUGAGCUCACUUGUUGCAUAGUUCCCUGCAGAUGGGAAUCAAACCAAAUGUCUGCAUUAUAUUUUUCUCAGACAGCUUACUUCAGAAAUUGGUAAAUUAGGAUUCUAGUAAUUUCAAAAGCUAAAUAAACAUGUUAAACCACACAGAGUAAUCCUUGUAUGUAGAAUGUCACUUCAACCAAGGGCAAUAUUCAGUGUUGUGCGGUUAAUGUUGUAAUGAUUGAAACUCACAUUUUGGUUGGCCUGCAGAAAACAGACUCGAUUAUAAGUCGACCCGAAUAUAAGUCGAGACCCCUAAUUUUACCCCAAAAAACUGGGAAAACUUAUUGACUCGAGUAUAAGACUAGGAUGGGAAAUGCAGCAGCUACUGGUAAAUUUCUAAAUAAAAUUAUAUCCCGAAAAAAUUAUAUUAAUUGAAUAUUUAUUUACAGUGUGUGUAUAUGAUGAAUGCAGUGUGUGUGUGUAUGAAUGCAGUGUGUGUAUGUGUGCAGUGUGUGUGUAUGAAUGCAGUGUGUGUAUGAAUGCAGUGUGUGUGUGUGAUGCAGAGUGUGUUUGUGUAUGUGAUGCAGAGCCUUAGUGGGGGGUGGGCAUUUUUAUUAUUUUUUUUAAUUAUUAUUAUUAUUUUAAAUUUUUUUGUUAUAUUAAUAUUUUAUUUUUAUUUUAUUUUUUUAAAAUAUUAUUAAUAUUUUAUUAUUAUUUAAAUUUGUAUUUAUUUUUUUUCGUCCCCCCUCCCUGCUUGAUACCUGGCCAGGGAGGGGGGCUCUCAUUCCCUGGUGGUCCAGUGGUGUGCACUGUGUAGGAGGGGACUGGCAGAAAGCUGUAACUUACCUUUCCCGAGACUUGCAGGUUUGCUGACAGAGGAGCUUACCGGAGGAGAGAGAAGGGAGCUGACAGGAGCUGCAGGAAAGGUAAGUUACAGCUCUCUGCCAGCCCCCAACAGGACCGCCGGGCUUGUAAUGAGCCCAGUGGUCCUAGUCUGUAUUAUGGCAAUGUAAGUUGCCAUAAUACAGACAGUGACUCGAGUAUAAGUAGAGUGGGGGUUUUUCAGCACAAAAAAUGUGCUGAAAAACUCGACUUAUACUCGAGUAUAUACGGUACAUGCUUUGCACUAAAAUCUGAUAGCUUAAUUUUCCGGCUAACUUCCACAUUUCUAUGUUAGAUCUACUUGUGUCCCUUUAGGAACCUGCAAAUCACAAGGGCCUGUGCCUGAUCUCCUCCUUAAAGUGGUCGUGCCAUGUAGUACAAUUGUUAUAAGGCUGAAGGUUAUAAGGCUUUCGAGAGUUUCCACUCUUCCUCAGGUCUGAAGCAAUACUGAAUCAAUCUGAUAGAGUUUAACACUUAAAAUAACUGAUGUUAGAAAAGGGGAUGAAGGGAGGGGGGUGAAUGGGUGUCAUAAAUAGCAGCAGAUGUGCCUGAAAGUGAAAGGUGCAGGUUGGCUGAGAAUAGCCAGAAAAAGUAAAUAAAACAGAUGAGCUUAUUGACUCCCCUCUGUUUAUUUACUUUUUUCUGGCUAUUCACAGCCAACCUAUGUGAGCAGGUAAGUAGUUAUAGUGCUUGGUGUGUUCUUUCAUCCUAAAAUAUUGUGCGGUAUCAAAAACCCCUGACGAUAACCGUAUAAAAUAUUUUUAGAUAGUACCUCAACAAUUCUGAUGAUUCUCCGAGUAUUGUUUAGCAUUAUUGGUGCUUAAUUACUCAAUAUUUAUAUAUUUUGCCAGCUGUUUAGUGAAUACAAUAUAUAGUUGAAAUUAAGAUUAGAAUAGGGCUCUGUGCUAUUUUAUAAAGUGAACUUCACACUUAAUUCAAGAAAAUAACGUUUCAAACAAACAAAAGACUUUCUGACAGCAAGCACAAAUCUUAAAUUAUGUCUAAGCCUGUUUAAAUUUGCAUGUCCUUUCGCAGUAUUUUGAUGAUAAAUUCCCUUUGAAGAGAGGGAGAGAGAUAGGAGUGUGUGAUUUGGAACAAAAUCCAGAGCUUAGUAGGAGGACACUGGAAAAAAAAAAAAAAAAAAGCUGUGAAAGGGAAAAAAGAGAGAUAGGAGGUGAUGCAGGAAACUGGUGUCACGUUGCUAGUUAAGAAAUAGAAAAUCAUAAGGCCUGCAGAACUGAAUAUAUGGGCCAAGGUUGAAGAGAGGCUAGAGGCUAGGAAGAGAUAAAAUAAGAAAAUACAUAAUGAUCUAAACACAAGCAAAUUACUGUAAUUUUCUUUUAUUUAAUUGGAUGAUAAUAACAACAUCAAGGUACUCUGAUUAAUAAUGACCUUUUUGGUUUUAAUGUAUUUACUUAUUUUAUCUAGAAUGAGGUUCUCAACUGCUUAGAUAAUUAGCACCAUACUCCUGACUUCAAGAAACAUUAUUUAGCCGUGUACUUUGAUCAAUGCCUUUAAUCCCCUGCCUGCCAGAGGGUUCUCAAGUUCACUGUGCAGGGGUUAAUAAUAAACAGGGAUACACUGCCAGCAGUGAUGUCAGAUUGCUGGAGAAGGUCUAUUAAGCCUUCGUGCUGGAUUCAGUGUCUUUUCUACAUUGUCAAUGAUAAAAACAAAGCACAUGCAGUUCAAUGCCAAAAAAGUCAUCCAGCUUGCAAGUGGGAAAAGUAAAGUCUGACUAGAGGCUGAUAAAAUACUAUGUUAAUUUGUGAUAAAAUAGGCAUCUGCUUAAAGAGCAUGGAUAUGAAGAGAAAAACAUGUUUUCUUAAACUGAAAUAACUUUUAGUCUGACGCAGCGGUGAGAUGAACUUAAAAGAAAGACAUUGGGAUCUAUUGACUACAGCAGGAAAUCUUGUAAAUCGAGUAAGGAGAUACACAUGUUUAGGCAAAACAAUCAAGCUCAAAAACAGUUCAACACAGACUGUGCCAGAGGAAUGCAGGCACUAUCAUCACAAAAGCGAGCUGGAGUGGUAGUGGGUUUUUUUCCAUUUUAUUUUCAUUAACAAACAAAAAUGUAGAAUUAUAAUAACACUCUGAAUUGACAUUUGUCAUGAAUGGAGAUACCCUAACACACAAACCUAAAGGAAACAGUAAGAGAACAUGUACAGGUCCUUAGAGUGCCUAAGACAGAUAAAUGAAUUGUCUGCAAGCAGACAGAGAAUAAACAAGACAUAGACCUAAGUGUAAGAUAUCAUAGAAUAGAUACACAGAUUCGAUAGUCAGGCCAAGAUCAGGAUAACAGAGAGCAAGAAUGGUCAAACAAGCCAAGGUCAGAAAAGAGUAAAUCCAAUACAUAGUAUAAAUGCACUCCCAGGUAACAAGAAGCAUGACAGGACAAGGAAAUAAGGACAACCAGUAAGUAUAAACCAUAUGAUUGGUUGCAAAGGGCAAUGAUGAUACUAGAGUGCCACAUAGACGGACAUUAUAAAAAGAGACCAAUGGAAGCGUUCCAUGUCAUAUAUGACAUCAUAGUAAGGAGCCAGAAAGUUAGGGAUGUGUGGGUGUGCCUCAGAACACAGAUGUGACAUCAUUUCUUUGAUCGUACUGUCGAGAGACUGGUAUUGUGACAUCAGACACCUGAGUAGGUGAGUCACUUCUGGUGGUCAUUCACUGAAUUAGCUUUUUGAUGCUGGCAUUGGGAAGUCAAAAAGAAAACGAGAAAGCAGAUAGUAAAAAAGAAAACCUGCUUUAGUGAAAAUGCUUUUUUUGGGAUUUAGAUUGUAUCUUUAAGCUUUUUUUGGCAAAACGUGAUUUCACAUCUGGCUUCUGUCAACAAGCCAGCCUGGAAGAAACAAAAACGUUCAAUUCUGGCUGUAUCAAUUUUAUACAAAUUUUCAUGUAGCAAAAAGAGAGAGAGCCAAGGUUUAGACCCCAGAUCUGCUUAAAACUUUGCAUUAAACACUGAACCAGGCUAUAUCUAAACUGAACUGAACAGAACAGAGGAGGUAUGUAAUAUUGCUAAUUCACAAAAAGUACAAAAGACUCAUGAUGAUAUUAAAUGUAUGCUUACUAAUCUAAGGAGCCUAUAUCACAAAAUGGGGGAACUAGAGGCAAUAGCAUACAUUAAACAAUAUGAUAUAAUAGGCAUAACAGAAACAUGGUAGGAUGAGACACAUGACUGGGCAGUUAACUUAAAUGGGUACAUGUUAUUUAGGAAGGAUAGGAAAAAUAAGAAGGGUGGUGGGGUAUGUUUAUAUGUCAACCAUGAGUUAAAGGACCACUAUAGUGCCAGGAAGACAUACUCGUUUUCCUGGCACUAUAGUGCCCUGAGGGUGCCCCCACCCUCAGGGUCCCCCUCCCGCCCGGCUCUGGAAAGGGGUAAAAACUUACCUUUUUCCAGCGCCGGGCGGGGAGCUCUCCUCCUUCUCUCCGCCCAUUCGGCUGAAUGCGCACGCGCGGCAAGAACUGCGCGCGCAUUCAGCCGGUCUCAUAGGAAAGCAUUUACAAUGCUUUCCUAUGGACGCUUGCGUGCUCUCACUGUGAUUUUGAGGAAGGCUUUGGAGGAAGGCUUAACCCAUUUAUAAACAUAGCAGUUUCUCUGAAACUGCUAUGUUUAUAAAAAAAUGGGUUAACCCUAGCUGGACCUGGCACCCAGACCACUUCAUUAAGCUGAAGUGGUCUGGGUGCCUAGGGUAGUCCUUUAAAGUCAAAUCUUAGGCAUGUGGAGUGUGACGAGGAAAAUGUGGAAGCUUUAUGGGUAGAUAUCUGCUUGGGGCAAACAAAGGGAAAUCAAUUAUUGGUUGGGAUAUGUUAUAAACCACCUAAUGUAAAUAUUAUUGAGGAAGAACAGCAAAUUGGGAAAGCUGAAAAUCAAGGAAACACGUUAAUUAUUGGAGAUUUUAAUUACCCGGACAUGAAUUGGGAUAGAGGGACUAGUACUUCAGCAAGGGUAAUCAGGUUUUUGAAUGUGUUAAAUGACACCUUUAUGUCACAACUGGUACAAGCACCAACUAGAAAGGAUGCUUGUCUGGAUCUCGUUAUAACAAACAAUGUUGAUCUUUUAACCAACAUUCAAGUAGGGGAGCAUUUGGGAAAUAGUGAUCACUAGAGAUGUCGCGAACUGUCCGCCGAACUGUUCGCGAACUGUCCGCCGGCUAACAAUAGCGUGUUCGCGUUGGGUGAACAUAUCCGAUUUCCGGUCCACCCCCUAUACGUCAUCAUUGAGUAAACUUUGACCCGGAACCUCACAGUCAGCAGACACUUCCUGGGAGGGAGGGUCUGCUGCUGAUUGGGUGGAAUGUGUCUGCUGGCUGUGAGGUUCCGGGUCAAAGUUUACUCAAUGAUGACGUAUAGGGGGCGGACCGGAAAUCGUAUAUGUUCGCCCAACGCGAACACACUAUUGUUCGCCGGCUGACAGUUCGCGAACAGUUCGGCGGACAGUUAGCGACAUCUCUAGUGAUCACAAUAUGGUAAUUUUUUAAAUAAACUCAAAAAAGCAAAAGCAAGUGGGGUAUACUAAAACAUAUCAUUUUAAAAAAGCAAAUUUCAAUAAGAUUAGGGCAGCUCUACAACAUAUCGACUGGCAUAAACUCCUUAGUGAUAAAAACACUGAGGAUAAAUGGAAACUAUUCAAACAAAUAUUAGAAAGGUACAUUUCGCAGUAUGUACCAUUGGGUAAUAAAUACAAAAGCAACAAAUUAAAACCAAUGUGGCUUAGUAGAGAAGUAAAACAAGAGAUUAAAAAUAAGAAAAGGGCAUUUAAAGCAUUUAAAUCAGACAAAUCAGAGGCAACCUAUUUAAGAUAUAAGGAAGCCAAUAACGCUUGCAAAAAGGCAAUUAAAGUGGCUAAACUAGAAAAUGAGAAAUUGAUAGCCAAAGAAUGCAAAACCAGCCCCAAAAUUUUUUUCUAGUACAUCAAUUCUAAAAAAACAAAAAAUGAAAGUGUAGGUACACUGGAAACAGAGUUGGGUUUAUUAGCUAAUGAAGACCAGGAAAAAGCAGAAAUUUUAAAUAACAAUUUUUCUUCAGAAUAUAUUAAUGAGGAUCCUAUGGCAAGAGAUAUGCAAAGGAUUGCUGAAAAAACUUGCAGAUAACUUGUGAUUGGGUAACUCGAGAAAAGGUGCUACAGCUAUUAAAGAAAAUUAAUGUAAAUAAAGCUCCGGGGCCUGAUGGUAUUCACCCACGAGUACUUAAGGAGCUAAGUGGGGAAAUAAGUGAACCUCUGUAUUUAAUUUUUCAAGAUUCUUUUGUUUCAGGUAUUGUACUGGAGGAUUGGAGGAAGGCAGAUGUUGUUCCUAUAUUUAAAAAGGGUUCAAAAUCCUUGCCUGGGAAUUAUAGACCUGGGAGCUUAACUUCUGUAACUGGUAAAAUAUUUGAAGGGCUAGUAAGGGAUAAUAUUCAGGAAUUCAUUGGGAAGAACUUUGUUAUUAGCAAUAAUCAGAAUGGUUUUAUGAAACAUAGGUCAUGUCAAACUAACCUAAUUGCAUUCUACGAAGAAGUAAGUAGAAGUAUAGAUCAGGGUGUUGCAGUGGAUGUGAUCUACUUGGACUUUGCCAAGGCAUUUGAUACAGUUCCUCACAAUAGGUUAGUCUUCAAACUAAAAGAAAUUGGUCUAGAUGAAUAUUCUUGUUCUUGGGUAGAACAUUGGCUUAUGGAUAGAGUACAACGAGUUGUCAUUAAUGGUAAAUUUUCAGGCUGGACAAAAGUGGUAAAUGGUGUCCCUCAGGGUUCUGUUUUGGGACCACUUCUAUUUAACAUAUUUAUAAAGGAUCUUGAAAUAGGCAUUGAAAGCCAUGUAUCAGUGUUUGCAGAUGACACAAAACUUUGUUAAUUAAUAAAAUGUGAGCAGGAUAUUGCUUUGCUGCAGAGGGAUUUGGAUAGAUUGGGGGACUGGGCACUAAAAUGGCAGAUGAAAUUUAACGUAGAGAAAUGCAAAGUUAUGCACUUCGGGGUUAAGAAUGCACGAGCAGUUUACACCCUAAAUGGUUGUGAAUUAGGGAUAACCACACACGAGAAGGAUUUGGGAAUUGUUAUAGACAACAAAUUAGGCAGCAAUAUGCAAUGUCACUCUGCAGUUGCUAAGGCCAGUAAGGUUUUGUCAUGUAUAAAUAGGGGCAGGGCCGCUAACAGAAAUUGUGGCGCCCCUAACAUAGCUCAAGGUCUGGGCCCCCGGGUGUACGCCUCCAAAUCCUGCCCACAGGAAUACACACACACAGACACACACACAGGAAGAUUCACACAUACUAACAGACACAAAUACUGAAACAGACAUACACACAUAUAGACACAUACACAGAUACAGAUACACACACACACAUACUGACAUAAAUACAUACAUACAGACAUACAUACAUACUGACAAACUGACAUACAUACACAUAAAUACAUACUGACAUACAUACAUAAUGGCAUACAUACAUUCUGAUAUACAUACAUACACACACAUACAGACAUACUGACAUACACACACACAGACAUACAUGCAUACAUACUGACAUACAUACAUACAUACUGACAUACACACACAUACAUACUGACAUACAAACACAGACAUACAUACUGACAUACACGCACACACACUUGCAGACACAUACACAGACAUAUAUACAUACUGACAUACACACACACAUACAGAGAGACACAUACAUACAGACAUACACACAUACAUACACAGACAUACAUGCAUACUGACAUACAUACAGACAUGCAUACUGACAUACAUACAGACAUACAUACAGACAUACACACAGACAUAUAUACAUACUGACAUACACAGACAUACAUGCAUUCUAACACACACACAGACAUACAUGCAUACUAACACACACACAGACAUACAUACAUACAGACAUACACAGACAUACAUACAGACAUACAUGCAUACUGACAUACAUACAUAUAUACAUACUGACAUACACGCAGACAUACACACAGACAUAGAUACAGACAUACACACAGACAUUUAUACAUACUGACAUACACACACACACAGACCUACACAGACAUACAUGCAUACUGACAUACACACAGACAUACAUACUGACACACACAUACAUACACACACAUAAAGAUAGACACAUACAUACUGACAUACAUGCAGAUACAUACAUAUACACACACACACUUCAUUUAUCAGCCACCCUCCUCUUACCUUUAAGUUGCAGGAGGGUGGCUGGGGAUGAUGGGAGUGGAUGCCUCUCUUGUCCUCCGCUCUCCCUCUGGUCCACUCUCCGCCCGUGCGGAGUAAGCUGGGAGGAAGUGACCAGCCGUCACUUCCUCCCAGCAGCACUUGCGGUGUAGCCGCAAUUUAUUUUUAUUUUUUAAAGGGGCCCGGUCGCGCUAUUACACGGCCGCAGCGCUGACCGGGUCCCUGAAGAUAUAGGGCCCAUCGCGUGGCCCUAAAUGCUCUGGCCACCUGAUGGGCCCCGGUGCAGAUGCACCUGCGGCAGUUUUGCUGCCCCAUGUGGGGCCCGGAUAGCCGGGCCCCCUAGGGCCGCCGGGCCCAUGACAACCAUCAUGGUUGUCACCCCCUGAUGGCGGCCCUGAAUAGGGGCAUAAAUUCUUGGGAGGAAAAUAUAAUUUUGCCUUUUUAUAAAUCGCUGGUAAGACCACACCUUGAAUAUGCUGAGCAAUUUUGGGCACAUGUUCUAAAGAAAGAUAUCAUGGCACUAGAAAGAGUCCUGAGACGAGCUACAAAAUUAAUAAAAGGAAUGGAGCAUUUUAGUUAUGAAGAAAGGUUAAAGAAAUAAAUCUGUUUAGUUUGGAAAAACGAUGCCUGAGAGGGGAUAUGAUAACAUUAUACAAAUAUAUUCGGGGCCAGUACAAACCUUUAUCUGGAAAUCUAUUCAUAAACAGGGCUAUACAUAGGACACAAGGUCACACAUUUAGGCUGGAAGAAAGGAGAUUUCACCUAAGGCAAAGAAAAGGUUUUUUACAGUAAAAGCAAUAAGAAUAUGGAAUUCUCUGCCUGAAGAGGUGGUUUUGUCAGAGUCAUUACAGAUGUUUAAACUACAAUUGGAUAAAUACUUGCAAAAACAUAAUAUAGUGGGAUAUAAUUUCUAAUUAGUGUGGUAAUAGCUGCUUGAUCCAAGGAGACAUCUGACUGCUAUUUUGGGGUCAAGAAGGAAUUUUUUCCUAGUUUGUGGCAAAAUUGGAAGCGCUACAGACUGUUUUUUUGCCUUCUUUUGGAUCAACAGCAAAAACAUAUGUGAGGAAGGCUGAACUUGUUGGACGCAAGUCUCUUUUCAGCUAUGUAACUAUGUAACUAUGAUAGCUACCAUAGUAUGCCUGAUAGCUUAUAGAGCAGUUUCACUCAUCAUAUUUAAUGAGGGAAAUAUCUGUUUGUGAAAAAAUACUUACAUGUAUUUCAUAAAUCUCGUUUGUAACCACUACACUGUCCACCAAGACAAACUUUGAGGGAAAGCAUUUUUCCCUCAUUAUUUUCAAUGGAUUUUCUUUAAAAUACAUUUAGAAAAGAGAGGGAGAUUUUUACCCCAGUUUCCUAUAUAAAGAUACAAUCUUCCCAUCACUUGGGAUAAAUCCUUUGUUUUAUAUUCUUGUAACGAAUUGGACUAUAAAGAGGAGAUGGGGCACAGAAGAAUAGUUUCAGAGGCCUAUAUCUCCCUUCUCUUUUUCGCCCAUAUACCUUCAUGAACCUAGUCGAAGAAUAUUCACCAAAAAAAGAAACCACAUAUUAAAUGACCUCUGUAUUAAAGUGGCUCAUCCACCUCUUGUCACUAGCUGAGUAGUUUUAAAGGAUCACUAUAGGGUCAGGAACACAAACAUGUAUUCCUGACCCAUCUAGCCCCCUGGGCCCCUCAUGCCUCCAUAAAUAUUAAAAAUGUUACUGUAUUCAAGCCAAAAGCUGUAAAUCUGCAUGCUGUUAGACUUAGAAAAACAAGCAGUCUGCUGACAUGUGGUAGCCUGAUCCAAUCACAAUGCUUCCCCAUAGGAUUGGCUGAGACUGACAAAGAGGCAGAGCCAGCAUGAUUCAAACAGAGCCCUGGCCAAUCAGCAUCUCCUCAUAGAGAUGAACUGAAUCAAUGAAUCAGUGUCUGCAUGCAGAGGGAGGAGAUACUGAAUCACAGGAUGCUGUGCACAGUGCUGCCCUGUGCUCUGCUGACAGCAGAGGAUGCCUCCAUCAACUCCGAAGUCCCUUUGGUUCACUCUGAGUGACUGCAACUCGAGGUGUUCCUAGCUUUCAAUGUAAACACUGUAUUUUCCCAGAAAAUACAGUGUUUACAUGAGAAAGGCUGCAGGGAGCUAUAGUUCUCACCUGAACAACCUCAUUAAGCUGAAGUUGUUCAGGUGACUAUAGUGUCCCUUUAAUAAUCACAUUGAUUCCAUUGGAAUUUCUUUGAAAUUCUGGUACAAUCAAACGAGAUCAGAGUACAAAAGAGGGACUGCUUUGUCUUAUGGACAAUGUCCAAGCUGACAAAAGGCAGAGCUUCUGAUAUCAACAUCUGUCAAAUCCCACAGCCAGGAUGUGGUCUUGCAGGAUAGUUCAUGUACUCUCAAUCAUACUUGAAUGAAGAGCCAGGAGCUGGAGAACAAAGGGCAUCACUUGCAAAGGAGACCUUUAGGUAAUUUUAACAACCUUCAGCUUCAACACCAGGCACUUGAACACAAGGGGGGGUGGUUGCACUCACCUGAACAUGCUUAAAUGGGUUGCUGCUGGGGCUAUAUUAUACAAUAGAAAGAAAAAAAAACAAAUAAAAUCUGUCAACAUUGAAGUUGCUAUUUAGUAGAUAGGAGAGUGCGCUGGAUCUUGUGUAUUGUUUAUUGCACUUGAACACAAGAAGGAGAGGUCAUCUUCAUUGGUAGUUGACUCAAAUAAUUCCUCUUGGACGGAUACAUUUACAAUUCGCAAUAACCUGAAUACUGCAGUCUAUUUCUAGGAAUUCUCUUGUCCCACAGCAGGUUGCUUUUAAACAGGGUUUUGUGUUUGUGUUUUUAAUACAAUAUUAGAGGACACUAACAGGGAGCAAAGAGCAGAAAUAUUAUAUUACUUGUUUCCAUGGUGACUACUACAGUUUUAGAACUUUGCCCCAAAAUUGUUCUUCAUACACACAAACAACAAACACUUAAUUUUUUUGUUUUAUAAUUUCUGUACUGAACAGAGGGCAGCCAUCAUGCCAAUUAUGACUUGGCAUCAACUUAAAAGGAAUUAAAAUUGUAUAUACAAUGCUGGCAUAUGUAUAGUUGAAGCAUUAUUUAAUUUUUAUCAUUUUUUACAUGCUUGCAGGUAGAUUUGCCAAAUGGUAUGAGAAAAAAAGAAAAGAAACAGCAUUACUCAAAAAAAGAAAAAAAAAUGCCAUAAAAAGGAAGAUCUGUACUAUUUACUAUUAAGCCCAGAGGUUAUACAAUGGCAAGAAAAUAUAUAGGAAAGUGCCAAUUUACAUCUGCAAGCAGUCUCUAUGGAGCCGUAACAACGCCAUGUUAAAGCAGAACUAUCACAUCUGAGAUUUAUGCACAUCCUAAUAAAUAAUAUAACUUUC